UGUAUAAACAACUAAAAAACUCCUUAUCGUGACGCUGUAUUUUAUUACAUACCGAACUAUCAUCCCCCGCGCGAUCAAUCUGACCUUGUCUCAAGGUGACGCAGAUCGAUUAUGUCGUCUGCAUACGUGCGUCUUUCUAUGUAGCUCGAAAAAUUCCGGAAAAAAUUGAUUAAUAUUGUAUUGAGCUGAGCGAAAGGCGAAGAGGAAAAUCAGUGGUAAUAAGGAAUUGUUAGCGACUGACUUGGUGGGGUCAAACGUGCUUAAAUACCCCAUUUCGUCUCUCAAGGUAAAUACCAUUUGACAACCUAGAAGUGCAACGAUUUUCAGGCCAUAUUUCGGAAGAAACCAUGCUUCUACCUUGGGAUGUUUUUAGGCAUCAUCUCAAAAAUCACCAUGGCACCCUCCCUCUUGUUGUAGUCGUUGGAUUAGGCACCGCCCUUUCUGCUACUUACACAGCAUACUGUCUUUAUACAAGUCCAGAUAUCAGACUGUGGAGACGACAGCGUUUACCCCGCUAAAAGUAAAACUGUUUGGACAGUAAAGCCUUUGACACAAAGAACUGGACCGGCCAAGGACAUGGAAGUUCUAGCUCACAAAGCCAUAGGACCACACCAAUAUUUAUAUGGCACCGAACGUCAGAACUAGACAACACACUAUAUAAGGGCUACUUAGUGAUUAUAUUGUAGUGAUAUUGGUCUUUCGUUUCAUAACGUUAUAGUUGGCUUGUAAAGCAACAGUUCUUUUUUGAAAUGAAAUCAGCAGACAUAUCUUCUGUAGUCAUAUUUUUCGCAUGUACUUAUAUAGGUGCUGAAAUGUUUUGUGGAAUUCUACAAAAUUGAACGUUCAUAUUUGCUUCAUUUGAAAUCAAAAUUGUCUUUUUUAAUUUAUCAAAAUAUAUAUUUCAAUUCAUUCAUAUGUAGAUUUCUUUCAAAAUUGUUAUGAAGAACAUUCUUCUUUAAAGUUGAAGGUUUAUUUUUUUCAUUGGAAGUUGUAUGUCAUAUUAACUUUGACUCUUCGUCUUGCAAAACAAGGGUUAAAAAAUCACCCUUUCAAUUAGAAAAAGGGAAAUAAAUCAGAUUAAAUACCACUAAAGUAUGUUCUUUCUUAUCUGCACCUGUGUGACUUAACAAUUGUAGCCCUUCGAUUAUUUUAAAUUUAUUUUCCUGUUUCAUAAAUUUAAUGGUAAGUUAAAGAGGGUAUCCGGUAAUAAUCAAUUAUCCAAUAAAUGAAAUCAUUUUUUUCCUUCCUUAACGUCAUAUUGAAAAUAGUACAAAUUCUAUGCAUGUUUAUUAUUAUGAUCAAAUCAAUUGUUUCUUUUUUUUAUUUCAGAAGCAUAGCCUUUGAAUUUAACGGGCCUUGAAAUAAUACUUUAUAUUACAAAUACAACAGAUUAUAUAUGUAUGAAAUGUUUUAUGGAAAUAUAUAUAUUAUAAUGUUUCUUGGUGUUGAGUAUGUUCGUGGAGCUUUUAUUUAUCUAAAUAAAU